rnacentral:rRNA from 1 species
UACGUAGGUGGCAAGCGUUGUUCGGAAUUAUUGGGCGUAAAGGGCGCGUAGGCGGUCUUGUAAGUCAGCUGUGAAAGCCCGGGGCUCAACCCCGGAGGGUCGGCUGAUACUGCAGGACUAGAGUACGGAAGAGGUAGCUGGAAUUCCCGGUGUAGCGGUGAAAUGCGUAGAUAUCGUAAGGAAGACCAGUGGCGAAGGCGGGUCUCUGGACAGUUCCUGACACUGAGAC